GAAUCAUGGAAACAGGCAGUUGUGGGUUUAGGAGUAAUAAUUCUGAGCCUUUUGCCAGGAGUUUUGUGUAUAAAACAAAUUGUUCGCUGUAACAGAGAUUUUAGGCACAAUGACAAAUCAGGAAAACGUACAGCAUGCUGGAUCUGCGCCUGCUUUGGGUGGUCUUUUCUCCUGUUUAUUUCAAGUUUUGUUGCGAUAGGGGUUAAUUUUACCCUAUCAGAUGAGUUGUUUCCGUGGUAUAUCGUGUUUCUCUGUGGUUUGGAUCUACUGACGGUAUCAACACAGAUAGUAAUAAUGAUUGUUUAUGAAACACAGGGGAACCGACAACAUAUUCAGACUGUUGACGAUGAAGCUAUGGAGAAGCUAGGUGGUGAAAACCAGAGUUAAACCGCGAGAGGCCACAUCCAAGACCGAUGCUAAGAAACUGCACGUUCCAACUUCAGAAUAACAAACACAAGUAUAUAUAAAAACUGAAAUAACAUAUAUGUAUCAACGUUGUUAGAUGCCUUAUCCUCCCAUCCGAGAUAAACAGAUAAAAAUGGCCUUUCUGGAAAUCCACAGCAAAGAUAAAAAUGUACCCAUAUCUUUUUUUGUAAUCACGCAAUUACCUCCCUUGCUGAAAACCGUCCUCUGUAGACACCUUUUCUUGUGGCAAUAUGUUCCAAAUAACUCAGUUGUGUCUUCAAAUGACACCAAAAAGAGGUUUUUACGCUGCAUUAAAUUAUUAAUGCUAAACUCUGCUCAGAACUAUUUGAAGAAUGAUUUUACAAUUAACAUAUUUUGAAACACUGCGCGCAUAUCUAUGGCAAUCACAAAAUUCCCAUAUCUAUAUGCGAACUAUUUUCACAACGCAGUACGCUCAAACUGGUUCAAGCGAGAGAAAAAACAUUUUAGUUUUAUUUUGUUUAACUGAGGUGGGAGAAAAAUGAUCUUCCACGGCCGCUCGUUUAAGAUUCUUUUCCGCAAAUUAUCCUACGCUACGCUCGGGCUGGGAUGAACAUAUCUAUCUAUAUGAAGAUACGUAUCUUCUGCAAAAAGGCUGCUGUGAAAGAAAUAUUCGAUAGAAAAAAUAUUUUUUAUGUAGUUUUAAUACCAUAUUGUGAUCAUAGCUAUUUAUAUUAAGUUUGAAUACAGUACUUUUAAAGCUGCACUCUCACAGAUUGAACUUUUUGACAACUAUUUAUUGUUUGUCUUGUAACGAUCCAAUUUUGGGAAAAUGCAUGGGAAACAGUUAUAUAAGACUGCUGACAAAAAAUAAGAUAGCGGAUUUUUAUUUUCAAGUUCAAAAAUUUAUGUCUAAGGAUUUUUUCUUAAACCGUUAGUAACGGUAGUUUUCGAACGGAGAUAUGAAAAUCUGCGAUCUGAUCUUUUGUCAGCAGUCUUUUACCAUUGGUUUGCAGAUAGCUAGGCAAAAAUUUGCUCUUUCCAUGACAAAAAAUAAAAAAAGUUGUAAAAACGGUAUGUCUGUAAGAGUACAGCUUUAUUCGGACCUUUUAAUUAUCUUGAUACUAUAAUUUCCUUUAAGAAUUGUAGUGUCAACGCAAAUGUUUUCAGCAUCAUUGUGUGUGAGUGAUACACAUUUUCUUACUUCCUUGAUAAUGCAUUUACGGAAAAUAUUAAUUACUGAUAAAAUAUUAACAUGAUUGUAACCAUGUAUUGAAUAGUUAAAAACGCAUUGAAAUUUUAAAUGAUUGGUGAGUGCUAAAAAAUACUGCAAUCUUCUAUUGGUAGAAAGGUAAGGUAGAAAUACCGUAUUUUCUGCGCCUUUGUUUUAUAUUAAACUCUGUAUCCUUCAUAAAAACAUUGUUUUCGACAUUUAUUUAUACUUUUUGAUAUAUUUAAACAAUUGUAUCAAAUAUGGUAACUCUUGUUUGGGAGUGCAAGUGUAUUUUUAUUUCGCCAUCUGUUGCAAUAACCGUAUUGAUACUUUGAAAUGCAUGAUGUAAUUUGUUUGUGGGUUGUCAUAGCAACCUUUUUUUCUGUAGACUUUAACUUCGUAAAUAUGUAAAUGGAAUACAUGUAUAUCCCCGCUUACGACGUGCCUGUUUUCGGAUGUCUAUUGUUUUUCAAAUGCAUUGGUGUACUAUUUUUUUUCAAUAUUUAUCCGCGCCACCUAACAAUUGUUUAGCACUGUCCAUGUACCAACGCAACUAUCACAUGUUUUGAUUCAUAGUAAUUAUAUUCAUUUCACAAUCAGAGUUGAUCUGAAACAAAGUCUGUGUCUGAUUAGUACAGCUACAUAUACAGACGCUAUUUUUGAAUUUACUGAGAUUUACGUGGUAGACAAACUCAGAAAAUUUUGAUUUGGAAAACUAGGCAAGAUACAUGUGAUGUAAGCGAUGUGAUACAUCAUUUGGUAAGAUUAAAGCGUUGUACACAACGAUAUCGAUUUUAUGUAAGUUUUUUGACAAUACAAUGUUAUUUUGUAUUUAUUUUUGUUGCAAGUGUGUCAUCUGGUGUCUAGACGCUUUAAAGAAAGCAUGUACAGUGUAAGACUAAAGCAUUCUGUGAUCAGCCUUAAACUGUGUGAUAUUGUUAAGUUUUCAAGUCUGUUUAAGUCGAAUAAAGUGUUAUAUUACAAUGUAUUCUUUGUUCUUUCUGUUUAAGUCAAAUUAAGUGUUAUAUUACAAUGUAUUCUUCGUUCUUUCUGUUUAAGUCAAAUUAAGUGUUAUAUUACAAUGUAUUCUUCGUUCUUUCUGUUUAAGUCAAAUUAAGUGUUAUAUUACAAUGUAUUCUUCGUUCUUUCUGUUUAAGUCAAAUUAAGUGUUAUAUUACAAUGUAUUCUUUGUUCUUUCUGUUUAAGUCAAAUUAAGUGUUGAUAUGUGGUUGUAAUGUUUACUGCUAAGGCUUGUGUGUAUCGUGAUCCAACUUGAAUAAUAUAUACUUUGUUCUUAAUAACAUUUUAUCAGUCGAAAUUGGCUAUGUCAAACUCUGUUUGACCAUGAGUAACGAUUUCGACCAUGUUUAAUAAAAAUGGAAUGCCAACUUUAAACAUUGUUUGUGUAAACAAAGUUUUCUGAAUAAUAUUGCUACUUUUAGUUUCAUAUUUUCAUAUCAUCUUGAUUAA